CCUUACCCAUCCUUUGACAUGUACGGAAGUUACCAGAGAUGGUUUCGUGCUCGAAAGAGAACCGUAACACAGGUGCUGCAUGGCUGUCGUCAGCUCGUGUCGUGAGAUGUUGGGUUAAGUCCCGCAACGAGCGCAACCCUUGUCAUUAGUUGCUACGAAAGGGCACUCUAAUGAGACUGCCGGUGACAAACCGGAGGAAGGUGGGGAUGACGUCAAGUCCUCAUGGCCCUUAUAGGUGGGGCUACACACGUCAUACAAUGGCUGGUACAGAGGGUUGCCAACCCGCGAGGGGGAGCUAAUCCCAUAAAACCAGUCGUAGUCCGGAUCGCAGUCUGCAACUCGACUGCGUGAAGUCGGAAUCGCUAGUAAUCGCGGAUCAGAAUGUCGCGGUGAAUACGUUCCCGGGUCUUGUACACACCGCCCGUCACA
rnacentral:rRNA from 1 species